UACGAAGGGUGCAAGCGUUACUCGGAAUUACUGGGCGUAAAGCGUGCGUAGGUGGUUCGUUAAGCCUGUCGUGAAAGCCCCGGGCUCAACCUGGGAAUGGCGAUGGAUACUGGCGGGCUAGAGUGCGGUAGAGGCGAGUGGAAUUCCUGGUGUAGCGGUGAAAUGCGCAGAUAUCAGGAGGAACACCUAUUGUGAAGGCAGCUCGCUGGGACGUAACUGACGCUGAGACGCGAAAGCGUGGGGAGCAAACAGG
rnacentral:rRNA from 1 species